rnacentral:tRNA from 1 species
CCUCCCUUAGUUCAGUGGUUUAGAACGCUCCGCUGUAGACGGAGAGAUCCCCGGUUCGAAUCCGGGAGGGGGGA